UUCCUUUGGGACCAAAACAGCUAAUGCAUCUGAAAUACACAAGUCUAUUCUUGUCCAGGUAAAGAUUAAUCUGAAUCUCUCCUUCAAAGCUACCUGUUUCUCCAUUUGUUGAAGGAUCUGCCUGGAAAAUAUUAAAAUAGUAGUAGGACUUGGUAUUAUAUAUCUGAAGUAGAUGGGCAUGUUUUCUCUGUCUUCUUGUGGAUCUUUAAGAUGAACUUGAGAUAGGGUAAAUGGUAAACCUGGAGUCUUAGGUGGCUAGGAAAAGAGCAGUACACAAUGUGGAAAAGGAAUGGAAUAAAAACACAACAGACUUAAUUGUUACACACUGCACACUUUCUUUCACUGUCAAAAGCUAUGUUAUAAUAUUGACAGGAAGAAAGGCUAUGACAGCUGAAAGGUGGAAAAUAUGAAUAGGGUUGAAGGACAAUUAAAGUCUAAGGACAUUUUGUUCCAAUCUGUUUGCCAACCAAUGUAUUCUGAAGGGCCAUUAGAGAAAAAGCAAAUCUUUCUGCUUAUCCCACACUUAGCCUGAAUUCAGUUUAAAUGAGUAUUUUUCACAGGGAGCAAAGGCAUCUUGCCUUUGAAGCCAGACACAGGGGAAGCUUCAAGUGUAGUUUGGUUUUGCAUGGAAAGGAGAAACCAUCACCUAGGAGGUUUUCAAGUGGCACUUGAUACAACUGAAUGACUAUGAGUGCAUGCAGCAAGAGACCCUGGCCAUAUGAUACACAAAUGUACCAAAAAUGACUGUCGAAUGAAGUACAGUCAUUGUCUUUAUUCAAGUUUCUCAUUUGGGAUUAUUUUUUUGUUUUUGGUUCUGUUUGUUUGUUUGUUUGUUUGUUUGUUUUUGUACCCUUUUUCUUCCCUCUCGUCUCUCCCCUAACCCCAUGUCUCUCUAUACCUCUCUGUAUUCGCAAACAAAUAUAUAAAUUUCAGGUAUUUUAGGUUUAGUUAUAAUGAAUGUUUCUGGAAACAACGUAACUAUUUCACCCCUCAAUUUUGGAGGAACAACACUUGGUUCUUAGCUAGAUCUCUAUCAGCUUUGCCUGGUAACUGUCCUUCUUCACAGGGACAUGACUUUGAGUUCAGGCCAGGGAUUAUGUCUCGUGGGCUGAGGAAGUGCCAGUGUAAGCAAAUUUAAAGUCAUUAGCCACCAAAUCCAGCAUAAUUUGGGAAGUAACUGAAAUCAACAUUUAAAGCUCAUUUUUCCCUAGCUCAAGCUCCCAAGUGACCACUGACUAUUUAAAAAGCAAAGUUUUUGUGAUUGCCAACUUUUGGAAUAAAUGGUUGGGAUUAGGUAUUUAAAUCCAUUUACCUAAUAAUGACUCAAAGACACCACCUGGUUCUUAAAUUCUCAAAUGGCGCUUUGAUUAAAACUAACCAACCAAUUCUCUGAUAUAUGUAGCAACACUCCAGCAGUUAUCCAGGAUAACUCAUUCCCUUCACACAAAAGUCUGUUUUCUACCUUUUAAGGAUAUGUUAAAUGACUUGAUGUAAAGGUAAAUAUAUCACUGUGGUUAGCAAUAAAGUGAGCAGUGUCUUCUUGUCUCUCAGGAUGAUACCCUGACAAUCCCAUUGCAAUUUGAUGGUUUUGAGCCAGGAAGAAGAAAAAAAAAAUAGCUACAAGUAUUCCAAAACUUAGGAGUGGGUUAGGAAUUCAAUAGCAUUUCUAAAUUGCUUCCAAAACAUUUUAAAAGAUAAGUUUUAGAGCAGAAAAAAAUACAGAAAAAAAACCCUCCAAAUCUAAAUCUGCUGUACAACCUUAAAGCACAUGUGCAAUUCAUAGCAAGGGCUGUGUGCAUGAAUAUAUGAGGGUGGAAUGCGGCCCAACCAGAGUUCCUGAAUGAUAACAUGGUUAUCAAAUGGUGCAUCCUCCCGCCUCUCUGGGUUUGCUCUGUUGCAUUUGGCAGAUUUAUGAGAAAUUCACAUGAUUUGGCUAAUUCUGAACACUACUAACAGGAUCAUUAUCUUGUCAAUCAAAACACAAUUCUUCAGCCCUCUGUUCCUGAAGAAAUAUGUUUCCUUUCAACUGGAACCUUUACCCCCACCAAAUAAUUUGAUAGCAGUUCCAAUAUGUGUUUCUAGUUUGAGCAAAGGAAGCAUUACUUUCCUGGGAGGCACUAAUAUUUUGGUAGAGAUCUUAAAGAUAACAGCUAGCUUAGAAACCUUAUCCAGAAGAUACACUGACCUUUUUGAUUGAUGGUGGAUAAACUCCUGGGACACAGAUGUAGGCGAGUUGUAGGUCAGAUUACACAAACUCAUAUCAUCUUCUAUCUAAUACUCCUUCCUGCCUUUAGCAAACCAGCAUCUUUCUCUACAUCCACUUCAAUCUUUGGAACCAUGUGUUCUCCAAAACACCUCUUUCCGUUGGAAGUGAGUGAACUUAAACUCAUUUCCAAUGGAAAUUUACUUGUCUUGUGUACUGCUCUCUCACCGGCUCGCUUUCUGUCAUGAACAUUGUUGCUGAUCCUAACAAGAAGAUCAUAAGCUAGUAUUUAGUUCAGAGAUCAACAUGAUGGCUCAUUUAUUUGGGUCUGUCUCUAUUAUCCUUCAAAUACACACGAUGAAGCUCAAACCCCAGUUUGGUAAUAUUUGAACUAGGUCCUUUGUGUGUCGUUAGGUUCAAAUGAAGUCACAGGGGUGAGGAAUACAUGGGUUUAUAAGGUGGGGAGCUCUUUUUCUCUGUUUGUCAGUGAAAGUGAUCCAUGUGGUAGUAGCACAUCCAUGAGCGCAGUCCUGAUAUGGCCACCUUUCCCCAAGGGAUUCUGUCCCUUUCCACUGUAAUGGUAAUUAUGUAUCCCCUGUAAUGGUGGGUAAGACUUGCAACCAAGGGCACAUUACACAUCUUUGGGGGAUGGAGAAACCACUAUAAUGACUGUAACCCUACAUGGCAUGGUGAAUGGUGUUUACCACCUGAGUGCAGAGAUGCUCCAAGGAUGGCUGAUUACGAGAACAUGCAUGGAGUAGGUCAUAGCAAGCUGUAGAAUCAAUAGCAUGAUCUUUCUUAUGAGUGAUACGGAAGGCAAUAAAGAUCCAGCUGUUUUCUCAGGAAAAACGUGCCUGUACCAGGGAAUGAUUGUAUUGGGAAAACGUCAUGUGAACGCAGCCUUUCCCCUUAGCCUCUGAUUUGGCAGAGAACAUGGAAGAAAGUGGGAAGGUUGGUCUAGUCAUUUCUUUUUCCUUUUCCAUUUGUGUGUCUGUGUGUUUGCAUAUUUGUGGACAUGCAUUUGUGCAUGUGGAGGCCCAAAGUAGACACUGGAAAUGAUCUUUGAAUGCUCUUCCAUGUUAUACAACAAAGCAGUGUCUGUCAAUCAAAUCCAGAGCUCACCAAUACAGUUACUUUCACUAGCCACCUUGUUCUGGGGAUCCCCUGUAUUUGCCUUGUGAAACUAGAAUUUCAGGCAGGCCAUUGAGCCAACCCACUCUUUGUAGUUUCUGCAUCUGUUCUAGGUAGAGAUCCAAACUAUUUCCAUCACACAUAAUCACUUAAUCACUGGUGUAGCUCUGCAGCCCUGGCCUGCCAUUUGUUAUUGGGGGUAAGAGGCAAGGGAAGUAGAAUACAAGUCAGAUCUGUCCUAAAUAUUUUUGUUGUUGUUGUUGUUUUGUUUGUUUUAAUGAGAUUCAGAAAGUAGAAAGCCAUGAGAAGAGUCUAUGUGGAGGAUGAGAACAGGGUCCAUCCUUUGAUAGAAAGAGAACAAAACUCUAUGAUUAAGCAUGCAUUAGAGAGUCCUCCCAAGAGCCUGGUAUUAGGAAAUGAAAAUUAUGGAAAACUCUCUAUCUGAAAAACUUUUAAUUGUUAAAAAUUUCAAAUCAAGAGAGCCUCUCUUAACCUGACUAGUGAGACUGUGGGAUACGGAGGUGGAUGGAGUCAGCCUGAGGGCUAUGAAAGGGAGGAGACUGAGUAAUAUAGCAACCUAUUGCUCCUUGAGAUAAAAGUGUACAACCAGACACAACAUGACAGAAAUUAGUCCCUGAUGGACUGACUCAGAGGAGCCAUUAAGGGAGUUUAAUUAGCACAAAGCACAAUCUGAGAUUCCUACAAAUGUCAGGGCUGGAAGAAACUAAGGAAAGAUGGCAUUUAUGAGGAAAUUUGAUGAGGGAGAUGAGGUGGUGUGUGUGUGUAUCUGGGGAGGGGGGGUUAAUGCCCACUGCACUAGGUAACUUAGCACUAGAGAAACAGGAUAGUUAAGAUCAAGUUUAUCUUAGUGUGGACCCCAGAACUGGUAAUGGUUCAUGGUAGAAUGUGACUUUUACAAAGUAGGAGAGGCUUCAAUAGAUCUGAAUAGUUUGAACUAAAAUGUAAACAGGGUUCCUGCCAUGCUCAAGCAAUCAAGAGGGGAUGAGAGAUGGACAAAGAGGAUAAAGGAGUGUGUCCUGGUCACUAGAAGGCAAAUAUGGAAAUAUUUGUAUAACGCUGGAAUUUUUAGGGAAAUGAACAGAAAACGGAGUGAUAUAGUCAGCUUCUGGAUAUUCUUAAGGCCAGAGCAACAUUUCACAAAGGACAAGACAGAUAAAACAGGGCAAUUGAACAGUUACUCAUGUGGAGUAUAUGGGGAACUUUAUGGGGAACAUUUCUCCUUGGACAGAAAGUAGAAUGGAGUGGAGAUUUCUAACUAAACAGCUUUGUUGGGAUGGUAGAAAGGCAAAGACCAUGACACUGGCAAGGGUCAAUCUAAAUUCAUGGACUAGUUAUGGUGUACAUAUAGUGUGACCCUAUUCCCUCUUAGGCCUGAACUGAGCCAAUUAUCCUUUUCAUGAAUGGAGAGAUCUCGGUGAUGGGAAGAUGCACAAAGUACACAAAGGUACCAAGACAACAUCUCGACCUUGGAUCAGGAGGCCAUCAAACUUCCAUUAAGUGACUGCAGAUAACAGAGAACUAGAUGCAGAGCUAACCGAUAAGAUGCUAAUCAUGGACACACCACACAUUUGGCCACAGGACAUGGACUAAUCAUGCUGAGAAUGACUGAAAAGUUCUCUCCAUUCUAACUGGCUAUUAUAGUGCUGGUGCAGGAUGUUGUUGGGAGAGAAUUGUCACUGCCAGUCCUGCUCAGUAAUGUCAGGUAGGAUGUACCUACUGGUGCAAUAGUGGCACAGCUGUUAAAGUACAACCAACUGCAUUUAAGGGAAGAUCCACAGAAGGUAAGUCAAAUCUUUACCUGUAAGUAAAGACCUUACUUUAUGGGGAUGGGGAAGUCAUAGGCUCCAGUGGGGAAGCCGUUGUAUUGCUCUGGUAAACAGAUGUGAUAUAGCUGUCAAAUUAUUUUCAAAAUAUUUGUGUUUACAUGAUAGUGUCUCAAUUCUGUCAGCUUCUGUAAUAGAGAUAAACUUUUUUUUUGCAA